rnacentral:rRNA from 1 species
GAAUUGCUAGUAAUCACAGGUCAGCAUACUGUGGUGAAUACGUUCCCGGGCCUUGUACACACCGCCCGUCACACCAUGAGAGUUGAGAAUACCCGAAGCCCAUGUCAAAGUGGUCGAAGGUAGGCUUGAUGAUUGGGGUGAAGUCGUAACAAGGUAUC